rnacentral:rRNA from 1 species
GAUGAACGCUAGCUACAGGCUUAACACAUGCAAGUCGAGGGGCUUCGGGAAGAAAGCUUGCUUUCUUUGCUGGCGACCGGCGCACGGGUGAGUAACACGUAUCCAACCUGCCCUUUACUCGGGGAUAGCCUUUCGAAAGAAAGAUUAAUACCCGAUGGCAUAAUGAUUCCGCAUGGUUUCAUUAUUAAAGGAUUCCGGUAAAGGAUGGGGAUGCGUUCCAUUAGGUUGUUGGUGAGGUAACGGCUCACCAAGCCUUCGAUGGAUAGGGGUUCUGAGAGGAAGGUCCCCCACAUUGGAACUGAGACACGGUCCAAACUCCUACGGGAGGCAGCAGUGAGGAAUAUUGGUCAAUGGGCGCUAGCCUGAACCAGCCAAGUAGCGUGAAGGAUGAAGGCUCUAUGGGUCGUAAACUUCUUUUAUAUAAGAAUAAAGUGCAGUAUGUAUACUGUUUUGUAUGUAUUAUAUGAAUAAGGAUCGGCUAACUCCGUGCCAGCAGCCGCGGUAAUACGGAGGAUCCGAGCGUUAUCCGGAUUUAUUGGGUUUAAAGGGAGCGUAGGUGGACUGGUAAGUCAGUUGUGAAAGUUUGCGGCUCAACCGUAAAAUUGCAGUUGAUACUGUCAGUCUUGAGUACAGUAGAGGUGGGCGGAAUUCGUGGUGUAGCGGUGAAAUGCUUAGAUAUCACGAAGAACUCCGAUUGCGAAGGCAGCUCACUGGACUGCAACUGACACCGAUGCUCGAAAGUGUGGGUAUCAAACAGGAUUAGAUACCCUGGUAGUCCACACAGUAAACGAUGAAUACUCGCUGUUUGCGAUAUACAGUAAGCGGCCAAGCGAAAGCAUUAAGUAUUCCACCUGGGGAGUACGCCGGCAACGGUGAAACUCAAAGGAAUUGACGGGGGCCCGCACAAGCGGAGGAACAUGUGGUUUAAUUCGAUGAUACGCGAGGAGCCUUACCCGGGCUUAAAUUGCAGUGGAAUGAUGUGGAAACAUGUCAGUGAGCAAUCACCGCUGUGAAGGUGCUGCAUGGUUGUCGUCAGCUCGUGCCGUGAGGUGUCGGCUUAAGUGCCAUAACGAGCGCAACCCUUAUCUUCAGUUACUAACAGGUCAUGCUGAGGACUCUGGAGAGACUGCCGUCGUAAGAUGUGAGGAAGGUGGGGAUGACGUCAAAUCAGCACGGCCCUUACGUCCGGGGCUACACACGUGUUACAAUGGGGGGUACAGAAGGCAGCUAGCGGGUGACCGUAUGCUAAUCCCAAAAUCCUCUCUCAGUUCGGAUCGAAGUCUGCAACCCGACUUCGUGAAGCUGGAUUCGCUAGUAAUCGCGCAUCAGCCACGGCGCGGUGAAUACGUUCCCGGGCCUUGUACACACCGCCCGUCAAGCCAUGGGAGCCGGGGGUACCUGAAGUACGUAACCGCAAGGAUCGUCCUAGGGUAAAACUGGUGACUGGGGCUAAGU